rnacentral:rRNA from 1 species
CCUACGGGAGGCAGCAGUGGGGGAUAUUGCACAAUGGGGGGAACCCUGAUGCAGCGACGCCGCGUGGGUGAAGAAGCGCCUCGGCGCGUAAAGCCCUGUCAGCAGGGAAGAAAAUGACGGCACCUGAAGAAGAAGCCCCGGCUAACUACGUGCCAGCAGCCGCGGUAAUACGUCGGGGGCAGGCGUUAUCAGGAUUUACUGGGGGUAAAGGGGGCGCAGGCGGGGGUGCAAGCGAGGAGGGAAAGCCCGGGGCCCAACCCCCGGACUGGUCGUGGAACUGCGUGGCUGGAGGGCAGGAGGGGCAGGCGGAAAUCCUGGUGUAGGGGUGAAAUGCGUAGAUAACAGGAGGAACACCGGUGGCGAAGGCGGCCUGCUGGACUGCAACUGACGUUGGGGCCCGAAAGCGUGGGGAGCGAACAGGAUUAGAUACCCUAGUAGUC